rnacentral:rRNA from 1 species
GGAAUCUUCCACAAUGGACGAAAGUCUGAUGGAGCAACACCGCGUGAGUGAAGAAGGGUUUCGGCUCGUAAAGCUCUGUUGUUUAAAGAAGAACACGUAUGAGAGUAACUGUUCAUACGUUGACGGUAUUUAACCAGAAAGUCACGGCUAACUACGUGCAAG